rnacentral:misc_RNA from 1 species
CUAUCAACUUUCAGUGACAUACAUAAGCUGAGAUGCUUGAACUAAACUGCUAAAUACUGCACUGAAUCCUCAAGUUACUUGCUCUCUAAAGAUGUGAAAAACAACUAUUUUCUGCAUAGAUUUAAAAUGGAAAAUACACUUAAUAAGACAAAUGAUAUAGCUCAUUUUCAUGAGCUCAUGGGAGCUCAUUUUGCAGCUCAUUUGCAGCUCAAUUUAGUAACUGUUAAUGGAGUAAAUUGAUGAAUAUUGAAAGAACGGUGUCACGGAAUAUGAAAAACAAGAUAUAGGGGUAUAUAUCACUCCACACAAAUGAUACCUAAUUAGAGAAUCACAAAGCAACAAAAGAGUAACUAUAGCAACCAGUCACAGUGCCAUAGCAACUGAUUAUUACACAAUAGCUACAAGCUAAACAAGUGAUUUUAGUAUUGGGGAAACACAGAUGAAGAUAUAAGACUUGGAAUAUUUGAACUUGAAAGCAUAAGGCUGUAAGCUGAUGACGUAACAGCAGAAACAGACAAACCAAAUAUGGGAUCAUCAUUCCGAGGAAAUGGAAUGUGGGACUAUAAAAAUGACAAUUUCCGGGAAUACCCACAGGGCGUUUAUAAACCCAGAGAGCGAGAGAUAAGCACGGUUAGCAAUACAAGUGACCGUGUUUUCAAUGAUAUAAACGAUUUUAGUUUGCGGUCAAAUGGAUCUGAGAACUCUCCGACAAGGAGUUGGAACACACGGGAUUCUUUAAGGGAUUCGACGACAAGGGACUCUACAAGUUGGGAUCCAAAAACAAGGGAUCAUGUCAUAAACCGAAAUAUUGAUAAUAUUCGUUCAGUUGAAAGACACACAGACAGUGACACGAGUCAAUUCAGCCAAUCAAAUGGCAGGAUCCCACAUGCCAAACAAAAUGGAACAUUAUCAAACUCACGAUUACCACUCAACAAAUCGUUAAGUUUAUCCAAACGGAGUUUAAAUCUCUCCCGGACUACCUUAUAUGGCAAAGACUAUGGAGUUCAAAAAAGCUUAAUCAGCUUAGGACUAAUAGCGAUUUUAUCUCUAGUUCUUGUCGUUUUGGCGAUGCAGUUAUUAUUCAAACUUCACGCGCGCCAGGAACUACAGGAUUCCGGAAACAGUUUGCCAGUUGGUGUGCGUAUAGGUAUCUUAACAGAAACUCUGUAUAGAGAUCUCCUAGAGGUUGCGAUUGUGUUAACAACAGUGGUUUUAAUGUUGGAUAUGUGUUGCAUGCUGGUCUGUAGUAUGCAGUGCAUUUUGGCAGCCAAAAUACUCAAAGUGCCUCAGGGUGAGGAAAGAGCAUUUAAAUACUUGCAGGAAUGUGCCAACACUCGGUUUCUCUCAAUUGCAGGCUUCUACCUCUCUGUGCCACUGUUUCUACUAGUUGUAUUCCUCUUUGUAUUAAUGGAGCUUCGGACAACAUCAGCGAUUAUUUCAACAGUGAUUCUUGGACUAGGAAUUGUAUAUUCCAUUGUUGCUGUAUUACAUAGUGCAUAUUUCUGGCGAGUAGAGAAAGUGCGGGCAAAUGCGGGAGCACCAGUGUGGGAUCCAAACAAAAGCGGGACCAAUGAACUUUCAACUCUUGUAUGACACAACGCGAAAUACAAGGCGUCACAUGAUAUCUGUUACCUAGGAAUUUUCUGAAAAUUUUAAAAAAUUUGAUUUUAAGUUUUUGCUUUUUAUGUUAUGUUUUUUUUUGUUUUUACAUUUUUAUAACAUAUGUGCUAUCUUUAAAUUUCUAUUAUUCUUAUUUAUGUUUGAAUUUAAGAUAUUAUGUUAGUGUUUUUAAAAAACAAAAGUAUCAGUACAUCUUGAUGUUUAGAGCAUGUUUUAUUUAAUUUUUAAAUUGCUUUGAGUGACUGUACCAGAUUUGUGUGACACCUUGUAUUUCUAAGUAGAGAUUAUGUAUAAACCAAUGUUCUCACUUUCAUGAUGGUAAUGUUUUCAAAUAUGAAAUUAAUGUAAAAAGAGUGGAAUUAGCAAGGAAUAAAGUAAACAGGCAUGUAGUUAACAC